GGUGGCUCAGUGGUAGAGCGCUUGCCUUGCAUAAAUGAGGCCCUGGGUUCAAUUCCCAGCACCA
rnacentral:tRNA from 1 species